rnacentral:rRNA from 1 species
CCUGGUUGAUCCUGCCAGUAGUCAUAUGCUUGUCUCAAAGAUUAAGCCAUGCAUGUCUAAGUAUAAACACUUUUAUACACGUGAAACUGCGAAUGGCUCAUUAAAACAGUUAUAGUUCCUUUGAGAACCACACUACUUGGAUAACCGUAGUAAUUCUAGAGCUAAUACAUGCCGCAACGCCCGACUCACGAAGGGUGGUAUUUAUUGGAUAAAAAACCAUCGUGCUCCUUCCAGAGCGCUUUGAGAUGAUUCACAAUAACUUGUCGGAUCGCAUGGCCUUGUGCUGGCGACUGCUCAUUCAAAUUUCUGCCCUAUCAACUUUCGAUGGUAGAGUAUUGGUCUACCAUGGUGUCGACGGGUAACGGGGAAUUAGGGUUCGAUUCCGGAGAGGGAGCCUGAGAAACGGCUACCACAUCCAAGGAAGGCAGCAGGCGCGCAAAUUACCCAAUCCCGACUCGGGGAGGUAGUGACAAAAAAUAACAAUAGGGGGCCCUUUGGGCCUUCUAAUUGGAAUGAGAACAAUUUAAAUCCCUUAUCGAGGAUCCAUUGGAGGGCAAGUCUGGUGCCAGCAGCCGCGGUAAUUCCAGCUCCAAUAGCGUAUAUUAAAGUUGUUGCAGUUAAAACGCUCGUAGUCGGACCUCGGAGCGCCCUCACGGGCCGGGCUUCUGCCCUUGUGCCAGUGGGAGUUUGUCUCCUUUUGUCGGGACGCGGUGUGUGGGGCCUUGACUGGUUCCGCGCGUUUAUACCUGCGGGCCGACCGUUUACUGUGAAGAAAGUAAAGUGUUCAAAGCAGGCCAAUGCCUUGAAUAUGUGAGCAUGGAAUAAUAGAAUAGGACUUGGGCUCUAUUUUGUUGGUUUCCAGUGACCAAGUAAUGAUUAAUAGGGAUGGUUGGGGGGGGACAGCUGCGACUUUCUCAAAUUGCGGGAACACCCUAAAGUCAGCAAACACCGCGGCUUGGCGCGAAAAGCGCCAGGCGCAGCAGUCGGGGUAGCGCCCUGACGGAUGGUAAUAGCUUUUGUUGAAUGGAACAAUGGGCAAUCCGCAGCCAAGCCCCUAAGGCCCCUCGCGGCUAUGGGGAAGGUUCACAGACUGUAAGGGAAGGGGUUUUUCUGCUAUGAAGAGCUUAAGAGACAGUCGGUCCCCUGCGAAAGCAGAGUCUCAUGUGAGGAAGGCGCCCAGGAAAAAGUGGGUGCUGGAGAGCCAUGGGAGCCCUCCCUCGUUGGGGGGGGGGGGCGGGGAGUUUUCCAAGACGAGAAAAAUAAUACACGUUCCGUAGGUGAACCUGCGGAAGGAUCAUUC